GUCGGAGAGGGGCGCCUCCAAGCUGGCUGCAGUGCGGACCGGACCGGCGCGCUCCAGGAACCUGGGGACCCAGGUGGUCAAACCUGCCCUGACCCCUGGAGGUCUGCGUGAGGGGUGGUCACUGAAGGAAGAGCUCUCAGAGGCCAUAGGAGCUGAAGAGUCUGCACAGAUGAGUUCUGGAGUCCCCGGAACUUGGCUUCUAAAAUGAAAAGGAAGUUUGGGGGAGAGUCUGGCAGUGCUGAUGGUUCCAGCAGAUGAAGAAUCAACCCCAUCUGCAGCUGGUGUUGAAAGUGGAAAAUCUAAAAAGUUUUAUCUCCUGAUGAACCAUGAAGAUUGUUUUUAAACGUGAAACGUAUCAUCUUUAGAACUGAACACCUUCUCAACUGAACUUAAAGGAGAAAUUAAGUGCAAUAUUUGGAAUUACAUUUAAAUGAAGAUGAGGUAGAAGACAGAACUGUUACAAGUAUGUAAGUUUUAUUGUACAGACAAAUGAAGGCUUCAGCUCUGUUGUAUUCUUAAAAAUUCCUAGCUUCUAUGUAAUUCUCUAAUUAUAGAACUUUAUUUCAUUAUGUUGAACUAGUCCUGAUUUCACCAUGAAAAUCUGACCUGAAACUCUGUUUACAGAAAUAUUGAAUAUGAAUUUAAAAUUAAAUGUUGACUAUUGGUAUAUUAAGAGAUACAAUUUGGUUGAUUCAUAUUUUUUCCAUGUUAAAGAUUAUUCUGAGCUCUAAAUAUUUUAAAUAAAUGAGACUGAA